GUUCACGUCUGAAAUUCAACGUAUCGAGUUUUUCGCAGAAAUAGUUAUUAUUUUCUACGUGUAAUACCCUCAAAAGGUUAUUGAGAUUGAUUCAUACCAUAUUAUGAUUUUUCGCAUUUUCUACAGCAUAAAUUAAGUUGAUAAAGUUGUUGAAGGUAUGUCUUGAACUAGAUGCCACGCCAUUUUAUUAUUUUUUUUUUUUGAUUACGUGUUUUUGUUUUAUUUCAUGUUUCAUUUAUUUAAUACGACUUUUCAUACAAUAAUUGUUAAAUCGUUAUUUCUCUAUUUUUACAGAUUGAAGGUAAACAAGUGUGGAGAUAGAAGUUCAUUUUGGUGCUGCUGAAAUAACAUACCUGGUCUCUCUUAUGGUGUUUUAUCUGUUAACUUUUCAUCUUGGAGGCUUUUGUAGUUGAUUAAUUAAGAAACGUUUGAAGGACUCCAGAUGCCAUUAAAUUAUAGAGCAUUGGCUGUGUUAGUCGAUAAUUGCUCCAGAACGUAGCCGUACCUAUGGCCCUAAAAAAAGCAUGAAAAUGCCAUUUUUCUAUUGAGAAUGGAGCUGUUGCUGAAAAAAGGAUUUAUGACAAUGAACUGAUGGUUCAUUAAAUGAGAAGGAAUUAAUUUUGGUGCCACUCAAACAAUCGACGCUUUUGAUGUCUUCACCUUGCAACAUUAUGUAGUUAAUUUUGGCCCUGAGAAUGGGAGGUAAUUGGAAAUUAUUUACGUGAGAGCCACUCAAACAACAAAUCAUCCCUUCUAGAUUUGGUUUGCUCAUCAUACUGGUAGACUUUAGAACGCUACUUUCUACAGUUAAUUAAGAUCGUUCAUCAAAUGAGUUCAGUUUGGUCGCACUGAAACAUGUGAUGUCCAUAUGGGUGUGGUCUUUGUGGCCUGAUUAUAUAUUCUUGAUUUGCUGUUUCGUCUUCGCCUUAUGUUACAAGGCAGUUAAUUUUCAACCCAUGAGGGAGAGCAACUGGAGAUUUAUCUGAAAUCCACUGAAAACAAAUUUUCUGUUGCGAUAUUCCUGGAGUUGCUUUGCUUUUCACACCUGUAAACCUUUGGAACUUUAUGUUCUACAAUUAAUUAAGAUCGUUCAUCAAAUGAGUUCAGUUUGGUCGCACUGAAACAUGUGAUGUCCAUAUGGGUGUGGUCUUUGGUAGAAUAUAUUCUUGAUUUGCUGUUUCGUCUUCGCCUUGUAACACCUUGCAGUUAAUUUUAAACCCAUGAGGGAGAGCAACUGGAGAUUUAUCUGAAUUCCACUGAAAUAACAAAUUUUCUGCUACGAUGUUCCUGGAGUUGGUUUGCUUUUCACACCUGUAAACUUUG